UGAAGACCCUGUAUUUUCUCUCUUUUUUUUUUUUUUCUCCCUCUCAUUCCCAGACUUAUUUUGAGACUGAUCCAUCCUACAAUGCCAAUGUAACUUGCAGGUGUUUCCUGUCACUAUUUCUGACCACAAUGGCUGAAGACCACCUUAUCAAGGUGCUGGACCUAAAACAAAAAUAGAAUGGAAGAACAGUCCCAGUGGAGAGAAGUAAAUGAGAGAGGCAGAGGGGUGAAGAGAAGAAAGGAGUAAAGGAAGAAUCACAUCGGGUGACUGAUCCUCCAAGGGGCGAGCUGGAGAAAUGUGCUCCUCAGGGACCUCUGGCAGGAGGAUAUCUUCAGUUCUGCAGAAGUAAUUCCAGAGCACGAGACCAUCAGAAUGAACAGGUCCUGCGAUGUGAUCCAUCCAGAAUACAUAACACUCCCUGUGUCCAAGAGGAAAGUGCAACCAAAAACCACCCGGAGACAUAAAUAUCGUGGCUGCAGCUCAUUUAACUAGUAUGUAGAUGGACAAAACAGCAACAGCGUUACAUAUAAUGCAGGAACAUUAAAGAAAAUAUACUACUUGCUGGAAAGCAUAGUGCUGCUCUCCAUCUGCCUUAUCACUGGAUUCCAAUGGUUGGGUGCCCGCAGACCUUUUGCAUUAAAUUUUACAUUGAUUUUUAUGACUAGUUAUUACAUGUAAUGUCUGAGCGC
ensembl:lncRNA